GGUUGAUCCCGCCAGACAUAUAUGCUUGUGUAAAGGAUUAAGCCAUGCAAAUGUAAGUAUAGAGACUCGCACUCUCGAAACUGUGAACGGCUUAUUAAAAAAGUUAUAAUUUACUUGAAUGGGGGAACUACAAACAGUUCCAAAUAUAUAUGUGGAUAACUGUAGGAAAUCUAGAGAUAAUACAUGCAAAAAGGGGAGAGGGGCAGCAAUGUUCUGAUCCUCGCGUUAACUAGAUUCACAUCAAGAGAGUACAACACUCCGCUGAUGAAACACAGUUUACCAACUAGCAGAGCGAGAUUGAUCGCCGCUUCAUUCAAAUUUCUUAUCUAUCAACUUUCGAUGGUAAGAUAGGGGCUUACCAUUGUUGUAACGGGUGACAGAGAAUUAGGGUUCGGUUCUGGAGAAAGAGCGGUUAGAAACGGCUAUUAUUUCUAAGGAAAGCAGCAGGCGCGCAACUUACCCAAUGAAGAUACUUCGAGGUAGUGACAACAAAUAACGACGAGGCAAAGGGGCGGUGUAACAGCCGCCUCUCUCGAUUGUAAUGAGUACAAUGUAAACAAAUUAAUUAGAAUCAACUAGAGGGCAAGUCUGGUGCCAGCAGCCGCGGUAAUUCCAGCUCUAGUAGCGUAUAUUUAAGUUGUUGCAAUUAAAAAGCUCGUAGUUGAAAGUUGGCGGGGAUCAUGUGCGGGUGUGUCCGUGUCAAAGCGGAUGUGCUCCACUCCCUAAUACAGCCAUUAAGCGUGCAGGAGGGUAUGCGCAUCGAUGAAAGUCUUUGCGUAUAAACUGUUGUACAAUUCACCAUAAGUAAAAUAGAGUGUUUAAGGCAGGACGUACACGUCCAUUGAAUAAUAGAGUAUGGGAUGAUGGAAGACGAAAGAAACGUGGAUGUAUUCUUGCAAGACGCAGCAAUGCGGCUUGUGUCUCGUUUCUUUAAUGAUUAACAGGGACAAUCGGGGCGAUUGGUAUUUCUACACGAGCGGUGAAAUGCGUAGACUGUAGAAAGACCGACUAAUGCGAAAGCAUUUCGCAAGGGUGUUUUCGUUAAUCAAGAACGAAAGUUAAGGGAUCGAAGAUGAUUAGACACCGUUGUAGUCUUAACCAUAAACAAUGUCGACAAAGGAUGGGGUUGGAGAAUGCAAUCAUUCUCUUAAAGCACUCUGUGCUACAAGUACUAACCAGAAGGCAGUAGCGAUACUGUCUUCACCUGUCUCUCCCUGGACUUCGUAAGAAAUUAAGAGUGAUCGGACUUUGGGGGGAGUAUGGUCGGAAG
rnacentral:rRNA from 1 species